rnacentral:misc_RNA from 1 species
UGGCUCUCGCAUCGAUGAAGAACGCAGCGAAAUGCGAUAAGUAAUGUGAAUUGCAGAAUUCAGUGAAUCAUCGAAUCUUUGAACGCACCUUGCGCUCCUUGGUAUUCCGAGGAGCAUGCCUGUUUGAGUGUCUUGAAAUCAUCAACCCGACCCGUUUCGUGCGGGAAGGGCUGGAUGUGGGGGCUCUGCUGCCGCGAGGCGGCUCCCCUCAAAUGCAUCGGUUGGGCCUGUGGGUCGAACUCGACUGGGCGUUGUACCAUCCUCGCUCGACAGAGAUGUUCCCCUCCUGCGCCCUCCCCCUGACCUGCCUAGUAGAGUGGCGGUCAAGCAACAAACUUUGAAAUCUGACCUCAAAUCAGGUAGGACUACCCGCUGA